rnacentral:rRNA from 1 species
UAAUACGGAGGGUGCAAGCGUUAUCCGGAUUUAUUGGGUUUAAAGGGUCCGUAGGCGGAUCAUUAAGUCAGUGGUGAAAUCCGACAGCUCAACUGUCGAACUGCCAUUGAUACUGAUGAUCUUGAGUACGGUUGAAGUAGGCGGAAUAUGACAUGUAGCGGUGAAAUGCUUAGAUAUGUCAUGGAACACCGAUUGCGAAGGCAGCCUACUAAGCCGUUACUGACGCUGAGGGACGAAAGUGUGGGGAGCGAACAGGAUUAGAUACCCUGGUAGUCCACACCGUAAACGAUGAUUACUCGGUAUUGGCAUUUAAUGUCAGUGCCCAAGCGAAAGUGAUAAGUAAUCCACCUGGGGAGUACGGCCGCAAGGUUG